rnacentral:rRNA from 1 species
CAAAAGCGUAUAUUAAAGUUGUUGCAGUUAAAAAGCUCGUAGUUGAACCUUGGGCUUGGCUGGCCGGUCCAUCUUUUUUGAUGCGUACUGGACCCAGCCGAGCCUUUCCUUCUGGCUAGCCUUUUGGCGAACCAGGACUUUUACUUUGAAAAAAUUAGAGUGUUCAAAGCAGGCCUUUGCUCGAAUAUAUUAGCAUGGAAUAAUAGAAUAGGACGUUAUGGUUCUAUUUUGUUGGUUUCUAGGACCAUCGUAAUGAUUAAUAGGGACGGUCGGGGGUAUCAGUAUUCAGUUGUCAGAGGUGAAAUUCUUGGAUUUACUGAAGACUAACUACUGCGAAAGCAUUUACCAAGGACGUUUUCAUUAG